UGGGGAAUAUUGCACAAUGGGCGAAAGCCUGAUGCAGCAACGCCGCGUGAGUGAUGAAGGCCUUCGGGUUGUAAAGCUCUGUCUUUUGGGACGAUAAUGACGGUACCAAAGGAGGAAGCCACGGCUAACUACGUGCCAGCAGCCGCGGUAAUACGUAGGUGGCAAGCGUUGUCCGGAUUUACUGGGCGUAAAGGAUGCGUAGGCGGAUUUUUAAGUGAGAUGUGAAAUACCCGGGCUUAACUUGGGUGCUGCAUUUCAAACUGGGAAUCUAGAGUGCGGGAGAGGAGAAUGGAAUUCCUAGUGUAGCGGUGAAAGUGCGUAGAGAUUAGGAAGAACACCAGUGGCGAAGGCGAUUCUCUGGACCGUAACUGACGCUGAGGCAUGAAAGCGUGGGUAGCAAACAGGAUUAGAUACCCUGGUAGUCCACGCCGUAAACGAUGAGUACUAGGUGUAGGAGGUAUCGACCCCUUCUGUGCCGCAGUUAACACAAUCAAGUACUCCGCCUGGGGAAGUACGAUCGCAAGAUU
rnacentral:rRNA from 1 species